rnacentral:rRNA from 1 species
AUUGAACGCUGGCGGCAUGCCUUACACAUGCAAGUCGAACGGUAACGGGCCUUCGGGUGCCGACGAGUGGCGAACGGGUGAGUAAUGCAUCGGAACGUACCUUUCAGUGGGGGAUAACGUAGCGAAAGUUACGCUAAUACCGCAUAUUCUGUGAGCAGGAAAGCAGGGGACCUCAAGAGCUUGCGCUGAUUGAGCGGCCGAUGUCAGAUUAGCUAGUUGGUGAGGUAAAGGCUCACCAAGGCGACGAUCUGUAGCGGGUCUGAGAGGAUGAUCCGCCACACUGGAACUGAGACACGGUCCAGACUCCUACGGGAGGCAGCAGUGGGGAAUUUUGGACAAUGGGGGCAACCCUGAUCCAGCCAUGCCGCGUGAGUGAAGAAGGCCUUCGGGUUGUAAAGCUCUUUCGGCCGGGAAGAAAUCGUAUGGGCUAAUACCCUGUGCGGAUGACGGUACCGGCAUAAGAAGCACCGGCUAACUACGUGCCAGCCGCCGCCGUAAAAC